GAUGAACGCUGGCGGCGUGCCUAAUACAUGCAAGUCGAGCGAACAGACGAUGAGCUUGCUCCUCUGACGUUAGCGGCGGACGGGUGAGUAACACGUGUAUAACCUACCUAUAAUACUGGUAUAACUUCGGGAAACCGGAUCUAAUACCGUAUAAUCUAUUGAACCACAGUGUUCAAUAGUGAAAUACGGUUUUUCUGUCACUUCUAGCUGGAUCCCCGCCGCAUUAGAUGGUUGUUCAGUUAACGGCUUUCUAAGGCUACGAUGCGUAGCCGACCUGAGAGGGUGAUCGGCCACACUGGAACUGAGACAGGGACCAGGCUCCUACGGGAGGCAGCAGUAGGCAAUCUUACGCAAUGGGCGAAAGCUUGACGCAGUAAGGCCGAGUGAGAGACGAAGGUCUUCGGAUCGUAAAAAUCUGUUACUAGGGAAAAACAAAUGUGUAAGUAAAUAUGCACAUAUUGACGGUAACUAAUAAGAAAGCAACGGCUAACUACGUG
rnacentral:rRNA from 1 species